CAUAACAAUCGAGGACGUGUGCGUGUGUUGAGGAGUCUGUACCUGCGUGUGCAUCUUUAUCUCAGAAGCCUGGAGGCUGUUUCAGUGCAAGAUGAAUAUGACCGUUAGACGCAGAAGACAAGCUGGCUACAGCAUAACGAAUGCCGGGAUGGCGAGAGAGAGAAGCGGAUUUCCCAGAAAACGAGCAACUGCUAAUCGCGCCGUCACACGAUAAUCACCUCCUCUGGCCUCCUCCUUCGGGCAGGCAGAUCUGAUGAAUGCAUUAGUUGCCUGCCCUUGUCCUAAAGAGGAAUAUCCGUUUCCUUCCGACCUCCCUGCCCUGCCCUCCCCAGCAACCUUUAUUACAAACUUUCGGAAUGCGCAUCGGAGCGAUGACACAUUCUGGGAGAAGCAAAGUGAGGAUGCGAAGUAUACGAGUUUUGAAGAGUGGAUGUAAAUUGGUGAAGAAUUAAGAAUCAUUGGGAAAGCAGCCCUGGGAGUGUUAAGAAUAAGAGGUGGGGUGGGUGAAGAAGAAGACAGGUGAUAACAACGACAAAGACAUGAAAAAUGAGAUCAAAGACAAAAGUUGUUUGCUUACCGAACGUAAUCUUUAUGGUGAAGCUGGAGACAUCCAGGAAAUUUUUAUCUUUUGAAAUUUGUUACAUAUUAAAGAAUGAAACAGA